rnacentral:rRNA from 1 species
AACGAACGCUGGCGGCAGGCUUAACACAUGCAAGUCGAACGGUUGUAGCAAUACAGCAGUGGCAGACGGGUGAGUAACACGUGGGAACCUUCCUAGGGGUACGGAACAACUCAGGGAAACUUGAGCUAAUACCGUAUACGUCCGUGAGGAGAAAGAUUUAUCGCCCUUAGACGGGCCCGCGUAGGAUUAGGUAGUUGGUGGGGUAAUGGCCUACCAAGCCUACGAUCCUUAGCUGAUCUGAGAGGANGAUCAGCCACACUGGGACUGAGACACGGCCCAGACUCCUACGGGAGGCAGCAGUGGGGAAUCUUGGACAAUGGGCGCAAGCCUGAUCCAGCCAUGCCGCGUGAGUGAAGAAGGCCCUUGG